rnacentral:lncRNA from 1 species
GCCCUUCCUAACUUCUCUGCCCAUUCUUGAAGUUGAAGGAGUUGCUUAAACAAGUCCAGCUAGAGAGAGAUGAAUAUGCUCAACACAUAAAAGGAGAGAGGGCCUGGUGGCAGCAGAGGAUGAGGAAAAUGUCACAGGAGGUGAGAUCUGACCCUUCAGCCCCCUACCUUCGAUAGGUCACUGGAUCUUUCUGGGCAUCUGUAAAAUGAAAAUAGUACAGCCAGAGGUGGUCAUGGGCUUUGUGGAGGUGGGAGCAGAGAGGGAGAUGGCAGCCUGUCCAGCCACCAGCCCCUCUCUCCAGGGCCCUUUGCCCCCGUGCUUUGGGCAGGUUUGCACAUUGAAGAAGGAGAAGAAGCAUGAUACACGUCGGGUAGAGAAGCUGGAGAGGAGCUUGUCCAAACAAAAACCAGAGGGGUAAGAUGGGGCUGGCAUGACCUGGGAGCAGGCCUGGCAUCAGACAGCCCUGGGGGUGGCUUAGAGUGCCCCAGGGAGGUGAGUGGAUGGAAGGGCUUUGAGGCAGAGGGAAAGGGGUCUGUGCCAGGAGAUAGCAAGUCUUGUCGUCUCCAUGAGCCUCAGUGUCCCCAUCAGCAAAGGGGGCCCAUUGUCAGCCACCCACAGUGCUCUCUAUCUGAAAGUGGUUCAGAAGAUUGCCUACCAUCUGAGUCCGAGGAAUUAUUAGCAGUAAGGCCAAGUUUGGGGAGCCUGAGAGGAGCUGUGCACUAAGAGGAGGGUUUUUUGUUUUGUUUUUUUUUUGAGAAUCCAGAGGGCCUUAUUGCCUGCUUCCUUUCUCAGCUGAACCCCUGCCUCUGGAGCCUCCAGCAGUGCCCUCUGAGGUGGAGCUGCAGCAUCUGAGGAAGGAAGUUGAGAGAAUGGCAGGAGAACUCCAAGCCCAGGUGGACAACAAUCAGCGCAUGAGUGUCCUGAUCUGGGGGCAAAAGGAGAGACUUCAGCAGCAGGAGGAGAGGCUUCAGCAGCUGGCCGAGCCACAGAGUGGCUUCGAGAAGCUGGCACCUGUGAGCCAGAGCCCUGCUCUGGAGGCUGUGGAGAGAGGGGAUGAUUUUUCUCACCUGCCUCCAUCCUUCCUGGUGCCAUGGGAGGCAGACACCAAGUUCUUGGUUCUCCAGCUGCAGUGGGUGGCUGCUGAUUGCUUCUGUCUGUCCAGAACAAUGAGAACAAGAGCGCACUGCAGUUGGAGCAGCAGGAGCGCCUGGAAACCUCCAGCCAGCAGAACCAGCCCCUACAGGCCCAGCUGAGCCUCAUGGUUCUUCCUGGGGAAGGUACGGGAACCUGCUCAGAGGAAGAGGAGAGAGCCCCAGGAGGAAGGGGGCACUGUUAGCAGUGCAGGAUUGAGGAGUUGGAAGAGACCUUUAGAACAGCUGGUCCUUAUGCCGACUGGGUGCCUGCACUAAGUUCGGCAUCAAUAUGGUGACUUCCUGGGAGUGGGGUCCACCAAGUUGCCUAAGGAUGGCUGAACUGGCCCAGGUCAGAAAUGGAGCAGGUCAGAACUCCAGCACUGACCGGUAGUGGGACUGUGCCUGGGCAGUAUAGCAAGAU